UACGGGGGGGGCAAGCGUUGUUCGGAAUUACUGGGCGUAAAGGGCUCGUAGGCGGCCAACUAAGUCUGUCGUGAAAGCCCCGGGCUCAACCUGGGAAUGGCGAUGGAUACUGGCUCGCUAGAGUGCGGUAGAGGAGAGUGGAAUUCCCGGUGUAGCAGUGAAAUGCGUAGAGAUCGGGAGGAACAUCAGUUGCGAAGGCGGCUCUCCGGACCAGCACUGACGCUGAGGCACGAAAGCGUGGGGAGCAAACAGG
rnacentral:rRNA from 1 species